rnacentral:rRNA from 1 species
UGACCUGCGGAGGAUCAUUAUUGAACGAAUGUAUAGUUGGUUGUCGCUGGCCCUCUCUGCUGGGCAUGUGCACGCCUUCUCUUUCAUCCACACACACCUGUGCACUCGUGAAGACGGAAGUGCCCUCGGGCGUCUGUCUGCUCCACAUAAAAUCAUACGCAUAUAUAUAUUGAAUGUAAUUGAUGUAACACAUCUUUAAACUAAGUUUCAACAACGGAUCUCUUGGCUCUCGCAUCGAUGAAGAACGCAGCAUCGUUGAAGAACGCGACAUCGAUGAAGAACGCAGCAUCGAUGAAGAACGCAGCAUCGAUGAAGAACGCAGCAUCGAUGAAUAAUGCAACAUUUAUGCGCACCUUGGCAUCCUUGGUAUUCCCAGGAGCAUGCCUGUUUGAGUGUAAUGAAAUUCUCAACCUUUUCAACUUUUUGUUGAGUAGGCUGGGAUUUUGGAAGUUGUUGCAGGCUGCUCUAAAACCUGCUCUCCUUAAAUAUAUUACCGGGGCCCUUGUUGUCUAACAUUUGUGGUGAUAAUUAUCUACCCCAUUGUGAACAAUGUAAUAGCCUGGCUUCUAAUCGUCUCGUAAAGAGACAAUCUCUGACAUUUUGACCUCAAAUCAGGUAGGACUACUC